rnacentral:rRNA from 1 species
GAUGAACGCUGGCGGCGUGCCUAAUACAUGCAAGUCGAGCGAACGGACGAGAAGCUUGCUUCUCUGAUGUUAGCGGCGGACGGGUGAGUAACACGUGGAUAACCUACCUAUAAGACUGGGAUAACUUCGGGAAACCGGAGCUAAUACCGGAUGAUAUUUUGAACCGCAAGGUUCAAAAGUGAAAGACGGUCUUGCUGUCACUUAUAGAUGGAUCCGCGCUGCAUUAGCUAGUUGGUAAGGUAACGGCUUACCAAGGCAACGAUGCAUAGCCGACCUGAGAGGGUGAUCGGCCACACUGGAACUGAGACACGGUCCAGACUCCUACGGGAGGCAGCAGUAGGGAAUCUUCCGCAAUGGGCGAAAGCCUGACGGAGCAACGCCGCGUGAGUGAUGAAGGUCUUCGGAUCGUAAAACUCUGUUAUUAGGGAAGAACAUAUGUGUAAGUAACUGUGCACAUCUUGACGGUACCUAAUCAGAAAGCCACGGCUAACUACGUG